CCUAGGGAGAUGGUGGAGCGACGGGGCGGGCCGGCCUAGGAGACGCGGAGCAAGAAGCGGGCGAGCGGCGGCUGCUCCUUUGCCAGCCGGCCGGGAUCCGGGAAGAGGCGCACGCCGACCUGCUCUUCUCCGCCGACAGGGAGACUCGUACACAGAUAGACAACCAAGUCAUGUGGAUCUGUUCAGGGAGACACACCACAACAAGGCCGAUCGCGUCUCCCCCGAAGUAGAACUUGUUCUUAUGACCUCAGAUUGAAAAGGAGAUGUCUCAACCUACUCGAUCGAAUUUAAGCACCCAACCUGAUUUACUGGAGACCGAGCCGAGGGGAAAAGGGGACCUGCAAGAUCUUGUCAACUCCCAUAAUGCUAAUAUGUUCGAGCUUAACAGAAAGGUCCAGGAAGUGAGAGAGAAACAGGCUACCCUUGAGGCAAGGCUUGAAACGUUAACCAGGUCCGUGCCCGAGUAUACAUGGUGAACUGGUGGUGUUAUGGUGAAUAGUUGAACUGUAUUUUGGG